rnacentral:lncRNA from 1 species
CGAUCUGAUCUUUGAUGUGUUGGAUUUGAAUUUAAUAUUAAAAUUUGAUUAAAGAAUCAAAUUGAAUUGGGAUCAUUCAUGAUCUGACGUGACUCAAUUCAUUUGCACCUCCACUCAUCGUGCCGUGGUUAUCUGUCUGGAAAAAGGUUUCCUCCAGUCAUUGAUUUUUUAGAAAAAAGGGUGCAGCAGGACAGGAGGGAUUGUUUCAGAAAAAGCAGGUAUGACCGGGGUAACUAAUUAACUAUUCCUGUUAUUAACCUUCUUAUAUCUAUUUGGCGGGAAGGAUAGUUAUUCCUGCUUUAUUCCAGAUUAAACACAGCCAUGCCUAGCAAAUAUCAGGAUAAAUCAGCACUUUAGAAGGGGAUUUGUAUGAUAAAUAAUUAAUUGCUAAGCAAGGAAAGCCACGUCGGACCAGUCAGGGCUCACCAUAAACUUCUGUUGAUCAGUAAAGGUUGGUACUAUCAGAUCUCGGAGCUAAAUCUAAAGUUUCAAAAGCAUACGCAUGCC